rnacentral:rRNA from 1 species
UACGUAGGGGGCAAGCGUUGUCCGGAAUCAUUGGGCGUAAAGAGCGUGUAGGCGGCCAGAUAAGUCCGCUGUGAAAUCUCGAGGCUCAACUUCGAGCUGUCGGUGGAAACUGACUGGCUAGAGUCCGGAAGAGGAGAAUGGAAUUCCUGGUGUAGCGGUGAAAUGCGCAGAUAUCAGGAAGAACACCCGUGGCGAAGGCGGUUCUCUGGGACGGUACUGACGCUGAGACGCGAAAGCGUGGGGAGCGAACAGG